rnacentral:misc_RNA from 1 species
GAAAUGCGAUAAGUAAUGUGAAUUGCAGAAUUCAGUGAAUCAUCGAAUCUUUGAACGCACAUUGCGCCUAUUAGUAUUCUAGUAGGCAUGCCUGUUCGAGCGUCAUUUCAACCAUCAAGCCCCCGGGCUUGUGUUGGGGACCUGCGGCUGCCCGCAGGCCCUGAAAACCAGUGGCGGGCUCGCUGUCACACCGAGCGUAGUAGCAAUCACCUCGCUCAGGGCGUGCUGCGGGUUCCGGCCGUUAAACAGCCUUACAAAACCCAAGGUUGACCUCGGAUCAGGUAGAAAGACCCGCUGAACUUAGGC